rnacentral:lncRNA from 1 species
AAACUGUAAGGACUUCAGGAUGGUCUUUUGCUAUACUAAUCCUCUCCAUCAAUUCACACUUUUUGGGAGGAAUCUGUGAGUGGACGUUAGCCAUGCAGUUAGAACAGUAGUAACGGGAGUCCCUGUGGAGCAGACUACUUAAUGAAUUCCCACUGCUUCAUCUCCGAUAGAAGUGCAUCUACCAUCACUAUCACUCCAGUGAAAACAAAGAUGUGUGAAGUUCUGCAGCAGUUCCCAGAAGGGUUAAUUAAAAUAUUUGGUCUAUUUCAUUUCAUGUAAGUUUCAUCCUCUUGAGUUUUAGAUGUAAAUGAACGUAGAAACAGCUCCGUUUCCUUGUGACUUUGAUCUGAGGCCAUCAGUGCCUGUAUGAGUUUCCUAAGAUUUGGCUAGGAGUCAUCUCCAAGUUGACUCAGUCAUGCUCAAGGUUAGUGAACCCAGGUCAAGUUUCAAGACUUCUGUAGUGCUGUUUUCAUGCAGUGGAAGUUGCAAGGAGUUAUCAGUGUUACUGCUGAAUGAAGACAAGUGAUUUCUUUCCACCAUCCUGACACAGAUUUACCCCUUUCCUGUAAGUGACUGUGGCCAGCACAUUCCAAAAGGUGAUUCCGGCAAUUUGAACAGCCACUGGUGACCAUUACCACAUGCCUCUGGACAGCUAGUCAGCACCAGCAGGACACAGGCAAUUACAUCUGCUGUUUUUCAUAGCCAAAUUGUCUUCAGUUUGAAAAUGGAAAAGCAAGAAAUAGCUAGUAGAAAGCUUUUGGAUUUCAUAAGUUUGUUAUAUGAAACCUGUUUACAAUAUCAAGCUACUCAACAAUGUUAUUAUACAGCUCCAUAUUCUUAAGGGACAGGGUUUUCAUUGUUUAGCUCUUAGGUGGUCACCAAACUACGCAGAGAGGCAGAGCACUAUUACUUCUUGAUCUAUUACAAAAAAAGUUGAUAUAAAUAUACAUCUGAAAUAUAUUGGUGGAGGACGGGGGGGAAGCAGCAUGGAUUUUAUCUUUCAUCUGCAUAUUUGCAAUAAAUGCGUCCAGGCCAGUUUUCCUUGUUUACCU